GACGAACGCUGGCGGCGUGCCUAAUACAUGCAAGUUGGGCGCUGAAGGUUGGUACUUGUACCAACUGGAUGAGCAGCGAACGGGUGAGUAACGCGUGGGGAAUCUGCCUUUGAGCGGGGGACAACAUUUGGAAACGAAUGCUAAUACCGCAUAAAAACUUUAAACACAAGUUUUAAGUUUGAAAGAUGCAAUUGCAUCACUCAAAGAUGAUCCCGCGUUGUAUUAGCUAGUUGGUGAGGUAAAGGCUCACCAAGGCGAUGAUACAUAGCCGACCUGAGAGGGUGAUCGGCCACAUUGGGACUGAGACCCGGCCCAAACUCCUACGGGAAGCAGCAGUAGGGGAUCUUCGGCAAUGGACGAAAGUCUGACCGAGCAACGCCGCGUGAGUGAAGAAGGUUUUCGGAUCGUAAAACUCUGUUGGUAGAGAAGAACGUUGGUGAGAGUGGAAAGCUCAUCAAGUGACGGUAACUACACAGAAAGGGACGGCUAACUACGUG
rnacentral:rRNA from 1 species